GGAGAGAUCCAAGUUCUAAAUCCUAAGUGUCUGCCAGAGAAAGAGGGUCAAUGCCCAGCUCCAGUGGAACAGCUGGUCCCUUUUCCUCCCUCCACAGAGAGCUCGCAUUAGCCAGCCCAGAAAGGAGAGAAUAGGCUAUGCUGUUGCACUGGGGGCUGGCCCGCUGAGUAAAGCCAAGUGAAGGAUUUGAAAAGAGCGUGGAAAUCCUUCUCAAUACAACCCCAGUGGUUCCCAUCAGAAUCGCUGGGAAAAUGGGAUGAAGCCAGUAUCCCCCCUCAGCACCAAGGACGAAGGCUACAAAGGGUGGUACCAGCCUCACCCCGUCCCAAGCCACAGGGCGCCUAGGCUUCCUCCCAUUGGCUCUUGAGAAUGUCCUUAGGUUGGCCCUGGACUCCCUUUCUUUCCUCUGAGACCAACACUUCAGACCACAUCUGUUUGAGGCUCCAAAAUAAGGGCAAGGCUGGCCGUGUGGACUGACCAACCAGUCCGUUCUCGCUGCUUUCCCUUCAUGCCAACUCCACCCCUUUCCCAGCAAAUGCCCCUUGGAAAGGCUCCGGUGCCCUUGUUUGCACUGAGGUGAAUGGAGUCUUGCUACGGGGCUAUGUGGGCAUCGUUUGAUCCCAUCUCCCUCCCAGACGGGCGAAGUGUGAGCGUGUAAGAGUCAAUGCAAGCACAUAGCCCUGAACUCCUUGUCAAGUUUUAGAAUUGGCUAAAGGGGGAAAGGAAAAUGCUGGGUCUUCUGCCCCCCACCCUUGCAUUUGGGAUUCCUUCAGGAAAGAGAGUAAUAAGGACAAAACAGAGCUCCCACGGGCCUCAAGAUAUCUCACAGCGAAGACUGGCCCCAGCUAAAGUGCCAUCUUCUUUCCUCAGCUCCACAUCAACUGGUCACUGCUUCCUGCCACACCGAAGGACCAAAAACACUGAGACUGAGUACCUUUCUGUUUUAUCCAUCAUGUUCCUUCAUCUACUCCCAUGUUUUUUUCAGUCUACCUUCCCUCUCUGUCCCCCAUGCACCUCGGGGGUCCAGUCCAUCUGAAUUAAAUCGCCAUCUGGGUCCUACUUUUAUCCUUUUUCUUUUGAGAGCCUUUCUCCUUCUGCAGGCCCACAUCCAACCCAUCUGUCCAGACACCUUGAAAACUGCCUUCCAGAGUCUUCUCUCUGUCUCUUUGUCUCUGUGUGUCUCUCUGUGUAUGUCUCUGUGUGUCUCUGUGUGUCUCUCUCUGUCUUCCUGUCUCUCUAUCUCUCUCUUGUCUCCCUCUCAACCCUGAGAGAACCCUUGAGUGUCUUACUGUUAACUUUCCCUCUCGUUCUGGGUUGUUGGUGCAGAGCGAGUAUUCCCUCGUACGCCCCGCCCCCAAGGCUCAAGCUCUCAGAUCUGAGGCAUCCCUCUUUGAGGUUCCCCUUCCUCCAAAACACUCCUCCAGCGCCCAGGAUGUAGUACCUGUGCUGAAUCAGUGAAGGGAGACGGUGAUACAGUCUGGAGUCCCGGCUCUGACACGACAUUAUUUCAUAGGCUCCAGCUUAAACACAGAUGGAAAAGAUUCUGGCUUUGUAAUAAGAGAUGGAUUAUGGUGGGCCCACCCCGCUGCUCUGUGCCUGCCCUCUGGAUGCUUCCGGGGGAAAAUGUGAUGACCAUGUCGGUGGGCAAGAAGAAAGUAUGGCUGAAAAGAAGGAAGGAGGGGGGAACGCACGGUAUUGUCUACAUGACUAUGCUGUUUGUAUAUGUGCAUUCACACCACAGCACAAAGAGAACUUGCAGGAGUCAGUUCUCUCCUUCCAACUUAUGGCUUCUAGGGAUUGAACUCAGGUCCUCAAGCUCGGUGGUAAACUGCCUUUACUUGUUCUGCCAGUUGACGGUGAGAGGUGGUUGCUUGGUGAUGUGAAUUUCUCAUGCAAUCAAGAGGCAGCAGGGCCUGAAGCCUGAAGCCAAAUGUAGCUUUGACGGUAUAGUGCAUCCAAGACGGCAGCAUCUACAUCCUCUUUCCUCUGCCUCAGAUGGAAUGGAUGGAGCACAUGGGAUAUGCUUAAGCAUAAUUUUUAUUGUCAUGUGGCCUUUCUUAUGGCUGUCUUGACUCUCACUGAGGAAUCAAACUCCUAACAUGAUGAUUAGCCUACCCCGCAGGAGUAUUGUUUGUUUGUUUGUUUUCUUAGGCAGGGUUUCUUUGUGUAACCACCCUGGCUGUCCCGGAACUCACUCUGUAGACCAGACUGGCCUCAACCUCACAGAGAUCCGUCUGCCUCUGCCUCCCAAGUGCUGGAAUUAAAGGAGUACGUCGCCACCACUCAGCCCACGCUGAGUGUUCUAAGACCCCAGGUAGAAACCAAAAGCCUUUUAUGACCUAUACUCAGAAGGCAUGUAGCAUCAUGGUCACUGCUUCUGUGGGUUCAAAGUAAGUCACAGGGACAACCCAGAUUUAAAGGAGUGGACCACCCAAGUGGCUAAUAGCAAGAAGUAACUCAUUGCUGGGGGCGGGGUUGAGGGGGUUGUCUUUGCAGACCAAUUACCCAUGUCUGAUCCCAAUGAAUCACCUUCCUCUAAUGUGCAAAUCCACCUGCCCACCAAGAACCCCCAAGGUCAUUAAACAGUCUCGGACUCAAGUUCCAAAACCAAGACUUAAGCAUCUAAGUGGGGUAUAGGUGCACACGCGACCCUUCAGGCAUGGUUCUUCUUGGUCCUAAGGUUUGUGAGCUAAGUAAGAGACAAGUUAUUUUCCCACAUUCAACACCCAACAGUGGGGCCGGCAGGCACAGUGGAAACGUAGUGGGUGUUCGUCUCCCAAAGAGAAGAGCAGGCCUGCAACCCAGCUACACACACGACACCAACUCCUUCAUUAGGUCUACUUUCUCUCUUCCAGAAGUGUUUUCCUGGUUCCAAACCCUUCAUUAUUGUGCUGGUUAGCUUUUCGUCAACCUGACCCAGGCUGGCGUCAUCUCUGCAGAUGGAAUCUCCACGUAGGAAUUGCCUCCAUCAGACUGGCCCAUAGACAAGCCUGCAGGCACUUUCUUGACUAAUAGUUGACCUGGAAAGGCCCAGCCCACUGUGGGCAGUGCCACCCCCCCCAGGGAACGUGGUCCUGGAUUGUAAGGAAACAGGCUGAGCAAGCCACGGGGACGGGACGAGCAUUCCUCCAAGGUCCCUGCUUCAUUUCACAUCAGGGUCCUGCCUUGCUUGAGUUCCUACCCUGGCUUUCCUCGGUGAUGGACUGGACUGGACUCAAGGUGUCUAUGCCAAGUAAAUCCUCUCUUCUCCAAGCUGCUUUGGGGAAGAGAGCAAACUAGGACAAUUGUCCUCCCUUUUCAUAAGAAAUCACUAAUCGCUGCCUCCAAGAGGCUUCUUUAUUUGAGCUAUAUGUCUUUCGGUCCAACUUGUAGAAUUAUUUUUAAAACUGCGGGCUUCCCUUUUUUCCCCCUCAAUUUUAACUAUGUGUAAAUGUGUGGAGGGGCAUCUGCCCACGAGUGCAGUACCAUGGAGGCCAGAAGAGAGUAGACGAUGCCCCGCAUCUGGAGAAACCAGAGGCCAUGAGAUGCCCAAUGUGAGUGAUGGGAAAGGAACUCGGAUCCUCUACAAGACCAUAAACACUCUUAACCUCCGAGCCAUCUCUCUAGCUCCUGUAAGCGUUUAUAUAUCACAUUCUAACUUCCUCCAUUAGGCAAAAGCCACAACCAUUUAUUUAUUUACUUUAGGGCUUAUCUUGACUUAAGCCACCAGGAAGGGGCCCGUUGAAGUCCUUAGAAGCCAUGCUGUCCAGUAGAGCUAAGACAGUAUCUGCAAGGUCUUCAGAAGCCUUGCUGUCUACCCAUGAGGCCUCCAAGACAUGCCCUUGAGUGUUACUGAGGCAUUACUGAAGGAUUUACAGCCACACCCUUGGCUUCCUCUGCAUCUCAGCCCACAAUUUACUGGCAGCACCCCGACUUGUGCCUUUGCCCUGAAGCCUGUUCUUCUGUUGAGAGCCUUCAGCUGGAGCAGCAUGACUACCUCCUUAUAUUUCCUCAGUUCUGCUCCAAAGUGGAACAGCGCCUUCCUUAGUUCACGGUCAUGACUCUUCCGCUCGACAAAGUCAGCUCGGAGAAGCUCCAGGGCCCUUUCACUGCGUCGCUUGGAAAUUGCUUUAGACAGGAUGCUCUCUCCUGCCAUGUCAGUGAAGGCCAUGGCCUCACAUCGGCCAGUGAUGAUCUCAGGCGUCCUUUGCUCAGAUUUCCUCCUGGGUCCCAGGACUCCAACCAUGUUCUCCUCAACGUUCCUCAGCUUCUGCUUUCUGAAGACCCCAAAGCAAAGGCCGCAGGUUUCCGUCCUCUCUCUCUCCAUUCACCACAUCCAGUCUAGAGGUACUGGCCUUCCCAAGAAUGCCCCAGAGAACACUUCAUUGUUUCAGUCCUGUGUACUCCUUCCCCAGUGAGUGAGUCUGAGCUGGCCUGUGACUCAUGCUAACAAAUGGAAUGUGCUGGAAAUAAGUUGCUUAAGUUUGGAAGCGCUCUUUCAGAAUACUGCCAGCUCCCCCCUUUCCCUUUCCUAAGCACUCACUUCUGGGAGUCGUGAGCACCUUGCAAGACUUCCAGCUACCUCACUGGAGAAGCCAGUUGCUCCAUUACAGAGAGGUCCACAGACAUCCUGGGGAGAGGGAAAAGGCCAGUGCUGCCUGCCUUCAGUCCAGCCAGCCUCCUAUGAUCCCAGACACCCUUCCCUAACCACGAUCGCCUGAGACUCCCAAGCAAGAACAGUGGCAGAUGCCCUCCCUGAUAAGCCCACUGGGCUCCCAGCACCACAAGAGAUAAAUAGUGAUGGUUAUUCUGGUUUUGUUUCAAAUUCCAA